rnacentral:rRNA from 1 species
GACGAACGCUAGCGGCAGGCCUAACACAUGCAAGUCGAGGGGUAGAACACUUCGGUGUUUGAGACCGGCGCACGGGUGCGUAACGCGUGUGCAAUCUACCUUGUACAGGGGAAUAGCCCAGAGAAAUUUGGAUUAAUGCCCCAUAGUAUAUAACCUUCGCAUGUUGGUUAUAUUAAAGUCCCAACGGUACAAGAUGAGCAUGCGUCCCAUUAGUUAGUUGGUAAGGUAACGGCUUACCAAGACGAUGAUGGGUAGGGGUCCUGAGAGGGAGAUCCCCCACACUGGUACUGAGACACGGACCAGACUCCUACGGGAGGCAGCAGUGAGGAAUAUUGGUCAAUGGGCGCAAGCCUGAACCAGCCAUGCCGCGUGCAGGAAGACGGUCCUAUGGAUUGUAAACUGCUUUUAUACAGGAAGAAACCCUCCCACGUGUGGGAGAUUGACGGUACUGUAGGAAUAAGGAUCGGCUAACUCCGUGCCAGCCGCCGCUGUAACAC